UUUACUUCCGUUUUUGUUGUAUUGAUUAUUAUUUCUGUUCAUAGUUAUCAAUUGAACUGCAUAGUUUGGGACUAUCGUCAAUUUUUUUAAUUCAAUAUUUUUGUAAUGUACCAAGUUGUAUAAAAAUACCCAAAUUAUUCCGAAUCAAACCACAUGAAACAAGUCGAAUCAAUAGCUUGUGAAUCUGACUCGAAUAAAAUCAAGAAAUCACAAAUUGCUCCCCAGCCCUACGUUUACGUCUAAUUGUAACUGGAUGAUUGGCAUUACAAUCAGAUUGGCCCGGUUGCUAGGGAGGGUAGAGUCACAUGGGGUAACCAAAUUGGCCUGGUUGCUAGGGAGGGUAGUCUCACAUGGGGUAACCAAAUUAGCCCGGUUGCUAGGGAGGGUAGAGUCACAUGGGGUAACCAAAUUGGCCCGGUCGCUAGGGAGGGUAGAGUCACAUAGGGUAACCAAAUUGGCCCGGUUGCUAGGGAGGGUAGAGUCACAUGGGGUAACCAAAUUGGCCCGGUUGCUAGGGAGGGUAGAGUCACAGAUUGGCCCAGUUGCUAGGGAGGAUAGAGUCACAUGGGGUAACCAAAUUGGCCCAGUUGCUAGGGAGGGUAGAGUCACAUGGGGUAACCAAAUUGGCCCGGUUGCUAGGGAGGGUAGAGUCACAUGAGAUAACCAAAUUGGCCCGGUUGCUAGGGAGGGUAGAGUCACAUGGGGUAACCAAAUUGGCCCGGUUGCUAGGGAGGGUAGAGUCACAGAUUGGCCCAGUUGCUAGGGAGGAUAGAGUCACAUGGGGUAACCAAAUUGGCCCAGUUGCUAGGGAGGGUAGAGUCACAUGGGGUAACCAAAUUGGCCCGGUUGCUAGGGAGGGGUAGAGUCACAUGGGGUAAACAAAUUGGCCCGGUUGCUAGGGAGGGUAGAGUCACAUGGGGUAACCAAAUUGGCCCGGUUGCUAGGGAGAGUAGAGUCACAUGGGGUAACCAAAUUGGCCCGGUUGCUAGGGAGGGUAGAGUCACAUGGGGUAACCUCCUCGUGGUCGCUAUAAUGUGGUUCUCGCUCUCGGUGGGGCGUGUGGUGAGUUGUGCGUGGAUGCUGCGGAGAAUAGCGUGAAGCCUCCACAUGCG